ensembl:lncRNA
ACACAGGUCUCUUUCACGCCAUAGAUGAUGGAUGAUGGCUGCAUGAGGUCAACUGUGUACAUCUGCACAUGCACGUUUGCUCACCCACACACAAACAUGCAUAGCAUGUGUGGCAGGGCGUGGCCUGCCCUCCGAACAGGUGCCAUAUGGAGGUAGUGCCUUAAUUGGUGGGUGGGGAGAAAAAGGUUUAUAUAAGGCACUGCCUCCAGCUGACUGUAGUUGAUUUCCCCCUUCGACGAAGGUGUAGCGUGGUUGCAGCUUAUCUGGGCUGUUUGACCAACUGAACCUGUCCCAGAAUGAGCAUGCUGUCUGGCAGCGCCAAGGUAAAAGCACGGCAUGCUAACGCAUAUUUCAUCUGGUUACGACGUAAAGUGCAACAGUGCUGGAACGUGUGCUUGCUACUUGUUGCAGAAGGUUGGUGCUUCCUCCCGCCAUCCUUCCGUCCAGAGCGCUUUGCCGUAAGGGCGUGCGCGCUAGUUGGCACUGGGCAGGUGCUGCGGGCCACGGCGGGGACCCAACCCCUGGUGGAGGGCGUUUUCAUCACACCUCUCGUGUGUAGUUUUGUUUGUAGUAGCACGGGUGUGUUUAGUUUGUUUAUCUCCCCUAAUUGAGUUUUACCUGCCGGUGGGGCCCCAGCCCUGUCCACCCCCUUUUGUUUGACUUUUGUACAGCCGAGUUAUUUUGGUGUUGAGUUGGAUCUAAUAAAAUUGUACUGCCUAACCCUCAACCCUGUCUCUGCCUCUGGAACCGAACCGUAUCUGCGCGUGCCUGUUUCCGGUUAAUUCCUGGGGUGAAAUUCCCCAGGUGGCGUUGUCGUUGACCGUUCCACCUCUCUCCACCCCGCCACACAUGUAUUUGAUGAUGAUCCCACAGGACAAACAGCGAUGCAGUUGUGUGCAAGUAUGCAACACAUUCACGAGGAGCACUAAAACCUGUUUUUCUUAUAAGGCCUUUCUGUAAAUUGAGCUGGUUCUACAGGAGCUUUAACGAGGACUUUCAGCCAUUUUUCCACAGCAUGAAGGACACCAGGAAAAAGCUGACAGGAGUCAUGCGUGUCCCGGGCACAGGAACUGUCCAUUAGUCAGGUAACGAAGCCAGAAAUAAGUCAAUUCAACUCAACUGUAUUUAUAUAGCAUCUGUUACAAUCAAGUUGGUCUCUAGACUCAGCUUUAAAGAAACCCAGGGCUUGAGCCCCAAAUAAGCAACAGUGACAAAGAAAAACUCCCUUUUAAAAGGAAGAAAAACAUUGAGUGGGGCCAGACUGACAGAACCUCCUGCCUAAGGCUGGCCCGGUAAAGAACAGAGGGAAGGAGGGAGAUAAGAGAAUAGAGGAGAGGACAUACAGCCUUGAACUGCUAAAGCCACAGAAAACUGUCCGUAUACUGUUUCUCCAGUGCAGCAAUCAAGGCCUAUAACAGCAAAACUAACGUGGUAGCUAAAGUGUUCGACACCCCUGAUAGAACUACGAGCAUUAAAAUCCAGCUGUAUCCAUAGAUUUCCCAACCAUAAGCAGAAACUGAAAAAUAACGCAGCAAAAUUAUUUUGCUCCAGUUGGAUGGAUGAAAAUCCAUGAACAAUGCAAUGGGAAGCCGAAGGAGCUGAAGAUGUAGUCUUGGAAAUGUCUUACUGUAUCCUCAGUUUUAACCAUCCAUCAUUUUCAACUGUUUCCCUUCAUGGAGUUGCUUGACCUUAUUCCAGCUAACUUUGGGCAAGAAUUGGGGGUACACCCAGGCAGAAGAAGUCACCAUCUGUUCAGGAGACAAACAUUAAUGGCUGACGUUCACACCACAAAAUCCCCUAAAUGCUGCAUGUGAAGUUAAGUUGUUCAUCUUUUUUUGUCCCAGAUCUCAAAUGCUGAACCUGGAUGUUUAUACCUACUGGAGAACUUUAUUUAUGCCCAAGGGCCAAUUUAUUUAAAGUUUUCUGCAUUUAAUGUGUGUAUUAACAAUAAG